rnacentral:ncRNA from 2 species
UGAUACCUUCAGGGCAGGGUGAGAUUCCCGACCGGCGGUAGAGCCCGCGAGCCUCUUGAUGUUAAGAGGUUGAUUCGGUGAAAUUCCGAAGCCGACAGUAAAAGUCUGGAUGGGAGAAGGUUUAA